UACGGAGGGUGCAAACGUUGCUCGGAAUCAUUGGGCGUAAAGCGCACGUAGGUGGCCUGUUAAGUCGGGUGUGAAAUCCCUGGGCUCAACCCAGGAAGUGCACUCGAAACUGGCGGGCUUGAGUACUGAAGAGGGUCGCGGAAUUCCCGGUGUAGGGGUGAAAUUCGUAGAUAUCGGGAGGAACACCAGUGGCGAAGGCGGCGACCUGGGCAGAUACUGACACUGAGGUGCGAAAGCGUGGGGAGCAAACAGG
rnacentral:rRNA from 1 species